UGGAAAUGAGGAUAAAAACGCAAGUCUUGAUUUGUUUAUGAAGACUAAUAAUCCAACUCUGAUCCUGCUGAACU